CAUGGGCAACCUACUUGUGAUGUGGACCUGAACCUCCGCCAUGUAGCAGACAACCCCCCUCAGGUCUUGCGGAGUAUCCUUCCCAAGUGGCGUGGAUGUGAAGAGACACGACAGUUCCCCUGAUGUACCAUGGCAUGGGCGACCUACUUGUGAUGUGGACCUGAACCUCCGCCAUGUAGCAGACAACCCCCCUCAGGUCUUGCGGAGUAUCCUUCCCAAGUUGCUUGAAUCAUCAUGGAUGAAAAGGGACA